rnacentral:rRNA from 1 species
AUGGCGGCGGAGAGGGUCAAGGACGUCGGCAUCCUCGCCAUGGACAUCUACUUCCCGCCCAACUGCGUCCUCCAGGAAGAACUGGAAACUCAUGAUGGCGUGAGCAAAGGGAAGUACACCAUUGGGCUUGGGCAGGAUAGCAUGGCCUUUUGCACUGAAGUGGAGGAUGUCAUUUCAAUGAGCUUGACAGUGGUGAAGACUCUCCUGAAAAAUUAUAACAUCGAUCCAAAGUGUAUUGGACGUUUGGAAGUUGGCAGUGAAACUGUAAUAGACAAGAGCAAGUCUAUAAAGACAUGGUUGAUGCAAAUAUUUGAGGAGUGUGGCAAUACUGAUAUUGAAGGAGUUGAUUCCUCAAACGCAUGUUAUGGUGGAACAGCUGCUUUGUUUAAUUGUGUUAAUUGGGCUGAGAGCAACUCAUGGGAUGGACGUUAUGGGCUCGUUGUUUGCACAGACAGUGCGGUAUAUGCUGAAGGGCCGGCUCGUCCUACUGGCGGUGCAGCUGCUAUUGCAAUGCUGAUUGGACCAAAUGCUCCUAUUUCAUUGGAAAGCAAAUUUAGAGGGUCUCAUAUGGCACAUGUUUAUGACUUUUACAAGCCUGAUCUUGCGAGCGAAUAUCCGGUGGUCGAUGGGAAGCUAUCGCAGACUUGCUAUCUCAUGGCACUGGAUUCCUGCUACAAGACCUUUUGCAAAAGGUACGAAAAGAUUGAAGGGAAGCCAUUUUCAAUCGUCGACGCAGAUUCUUUUGUAUUUCAUUCUCCAUACAACAAGCUUGUACAGAAAAGUUUUGCUCGUUUAUACUACAAUGACUUCUUGAGAAACUGCAGCAUUGUUGACAAAGACUCAAGAGAAAAAUUGGAGCCCUACUUGGGCCUGUCAUCUGAGGAAAGCUAUCAGAGUCGAGACCUUGAGAAGGUUUGUCAGCAAGUUGCGAAGCCCCUGUAUGACACCAAGGUUCAACCAACAACAUUGAUCCCGAAACAACUCGGGAAUAUGUAUACGGCGUCACUCUAUGCUGCUUUUGCAUCAGUUGUCCACAACAAACACGAUGCUCUGGUGGGCCAGAGGAUUGUGAUGUUCUCUUACGGCAGUGGCAUGACAUCGACAAUGUUCUCCUUCAAAAUCAAUGAAGGCCAGCAUCCGUUCAGCCUAACGAACAUUGCAAGCAUACUGGAUAUCUCCAACAAAUUGGAGUCUAGGCAUGUGGUUCCACCGAAGAAAUUUGUCGAGGCGCUGAAGCUGAUGGAGCACCGCUACGGCGCCAAGGACUUCGUCACCAGCCAGGACACGCGCUUGCUCGUUCCAGGCACCUACUACCUCACCCAUGUUGACUCCAUGUACCGCCGGUUCUAUGCCGUGAAAGGCGACACCGCGGCCACUCCGGUAACCAAUGGCCAUUGA